GUGGGUGUGGUGUAUGGAACACAGCUGCUGUGCUUAUGCGCUCAACCAUUUUGUGUAGCAGACCCGGGUUCGAAUCCCGGCACCCGCA